rnacentral:rRNA from 1 species
CAGCAGUGGGGAAUAUUGCACAAUGGGCGCAAGCCUGAUGCAGCCAUGCCGCGUGUAUGAAGAAGGCCUUCGGGUUGUAAAGUACUUUCAGUCGUGAGGAAGGCGGCGUCGUUAAUAGCGGCGUUGUUUGACGUUAGCGACAGAAGAAAGCACCGGCUAACUCCGUGCCAGCAGCCGCGGUAAUACGGAGGGUGCGAGCGUUAAUCGGAAUUACUGGGCGUAAAGCGCAUGCAGGUGGUUUGUUAAGUCAGAUGUGAAAGCCCGGGGCGUCAACCUCGGAAUUGCAUUUGUAAACUAGGCAGACUAGAGUACUGUAGAGGGGGGUAGGAAUUUCAGGUGUAGCGGUGAAAUAGCGUAGAGAUCUGAAGGAAUACCGGUGGCGAAGGCGGCCCCCUCGGACAGAUACUGACACUCAGAUGCGAAAGCGUGGGGAGCAAACAGGAUUAGAUACCCUGGUAG